rnacentral:rRNA from 1 species
AACUUACCGAAAGGUGAGCUAAUGCCGGAUGAGUUAUAUAAGUGCAUGUUUAUAUAGGAAAAGUUGGGGAGACCUGACGCUGAAAGAUGGACUCGCGUCCCAUUAGCUAGUUGGUAGGGUAAUGGCCUACCAAGGCGACGAUGGGUAGCCGGCCUGAGAGGGUGGCCGGCCACACUGGGACUGAGACACGGCCCAGACUCCUACGGGAGGCAGCAGUGGGGAAUUUUGCGCAAUGCUCGUAAGAGUGACGCAGCGACGCCGCGUGAAUGACGAAGGCCUUCGGGUCGUAAAGUUCUUUCGACAGGGAAGAAAAUGCCUAUAAGUAACUGUGUAUGUAUUGACGGUACCUGUAUAAGCAGCCCCGGCUAACUCCGUGCCAGCAGCCGCGGUAAUACGGAGGGGGCGAGCGUUGUUCGGAGUGACUGGGCGUAAAGAGCACGUAGGCGGUGUUGUAAGUCAUUAGUCAAAGACUAGAGCUCAACUUUAGUAAGGCUAGUGAUACUAUAAUACUAGAGUAUCAGAGAGGAUUGCAGAAUUCCUGGUGUAGCGGUGAAAUGCGUAGAUAUCAGGAGGAAUACCGUUAGCGAAGGCGGCAAUCUGGCUGGAAACUGACGCUGAGGUGCGAAAGCGUGGGUAGCAAACAGGAUUAGAUACCCUGGUAGUCCACGCUGUAAACGAUGGGUGCU